rnacentral:lncRNA from 1 species
UCUUUUGACCCUGGGUAGAGUUUAGACCCAGAAUUACUAAAUCACGCAAGGAAAGGCAUAAAAUACUCAGACCUGUGAUCAGUCGGAUGAAGGAAGAAAAACAGUUAAAUCUUCAGAAAAAUCCUAUCAUCACUUUCCAGAGGCCAUGUCUCCAAUCCUUCCCGUUCCUGGAUAACUGCUUUGGACAGGUAAUCCAGUGACUCUUAAAGUGAUCUGUGCUCUAUUUGUUUCUCCAGGUGAUUUUUUAAAAAAUACAUGGUACCGUAUAUUUUUCUAUUAUUUCAGUCUUAAAACUUUUGUUUUUAUCUCGUUUUAUGGAGUCAUUCCCUUACCUUUCAUCCAUUUUCAUUUUCAAGGUUCUUGGUGUUUUUGUUUUUAUUUAGAAUAUUUUUCC